UUUGACAAGAUGGCGGCAGGAGGCAGUGGUGUUGGUGGGAAGCGCAGCUCGAAAAGCGAUGCCGAUUCUGGUUUCCUGGGGCUGCGGCCCACUUCGGUGGACCCAGCGCUGAGGCGGCGGCGGCGAGGCCCAAGAAAUAAGAAGCGGGGCUGGCGGCGGCUUGCUCAGGAGCCGCUGGGGCUGGAGGUUGACCAGUUCCUGGAAGACGUGCGGCUACAGGAGCGCACGAGCGGUGGCUUGUUGUCAGAGGCCCCAAAUGAAAAACUCUUCUUCGUGGACACUGGCUCCAAGGAAAAAGGGCUGACAAAGAAGAGAACCAAGGUCCAGAAGAAGUCACUGCUUCUCAAGAAGCCCCUUCGGGUUGACCUCAUCCUCGAGAACACAUCCAAAGUCCCUGCCCCCAAAGACGUCCUCGCCCACCAGGUCCCCAAUGCCAAGAAGCUCAGGCGGAAGGAGCAGCUAUGGGAGAAGCUGGCCAAGCAGGGCGAGCUGCCCCGGGAGGUGCGCAGGGCCCAGGCCCGGCUCCUCAACCCUUCCGCAGCAAGGGCCAAGCCCGGGCCCCAGGACACCGUAGAGCGGCCCUUCUACGACCUCUGGGCCUCAGACAACCCCCUGGACAGGCCGUUGGUUGGCCAGGAUGAGUUUUUCCUGGAGCAGACCAAGAAGAAAGGAGUGAAGCGGCCAGCACGCCUGCACACCAAGCCGUCCCAGGCACCCGCUGUGGAGGUGGCGCCUGCCGGAGCUUCCUACAAUCCAUCCUUUGAAGACCACCAGGUACACUGCCCCGUCCAGGCCUCCCUCCUCAGUGGGCUCUGCCUCUUGGUCAGGCCUUCACUAGCUUCCUCCCUGUGCUGGGAACUCCAAUGACCCAGACAG
rnacentral:sRNA from 1 species